rnacentral:rRNA from 1 species
GAUGAACGCUGGCGGCGUGCCUAAUACAUGCAAGUCGAGCGAACAGACGAGGAUCUUGCUCCUCUGACGUGAGCGGCGGACGGGUGAGUAACACGUGUAUAAUCUACCUAUAAGACUGGUAUAACUUCGGGAAUCCGGAUCUAAUACCGGAUAAUAUAUUGAACCGCAUGGUUCAAUAGUGAAAGUCGGUUGUUCUGUCACUUAUAGCUGGUUCCGCGCCGGAUUAGCUAGUUGGUAAGGUAACGGCUUACCAAGGCUACGAUGCGUAGACGACCUGGGAGAGUGGUCGGCCACACUGGAGCUGAGCCACGGUCAAGACUCCUACGGGAGGCCGCAGUAGCGAACCUUCCGCAGUAGGCGAAAGCAUGACGCAGCAACCCGGAGUGAGUGAUGGAGGUCUUCGGAUCGUAAAACCCUGCUACUAGGGAAGAACCAAUGUGUCAGUAAAUAUGCACGUAUUGACGGUACCUAAUCAGAAAGCCACGGCUAACUACGUG